rnacentral:rRNA from 1 species
UACGUAGGGUGCGAGCGUUGUCCGGAAUUAUUGGGCGUAAAGAGCUUGUAGGCGGUUUGUCGCGUCUGCUGUGAAAUUUCGGGGCUCAACCCCGAACUUGCAGUGGGUACGGGCAGACUAGAGUGUGGUAGGGGAGACUGGAAUUCCUGGUGUAGCGGUGAAAUGCGCAGAUAUCAGGAGGAACACCGAUGGCGAAGGCAGAUCUCUGGGCCGUAACUGACGCUGAGGAGCGAAAGCUAGGGGAGCAAACAGG